rnacentral:rRNA from 1 species
CACCGGCGGCUCGAGUGGUGGCCACUUUUAUUGGGUCUAAAGCGUCCGUAGCCGGCUUGGCAAGUCCCCUGGGAAAUCUGGCAUCUCAAGUGUCAGGCUGCCAGGGGAUACUGGUCGGCUUGGGACCGGGAGAGGUGAGAGGUACCUCGGGGGUAGGGGUGAAAUCUUGUGAUCCCUGAGGGACCACCAGUGGCGAAGGCGUCUCACUAGAACGGGUCCGACGGUCAGGGACGAAAGCUGGGGGCACGAACCGG